rnacentral:lncRNA from 1 species
AUGCAUGAUUUUCCUAUCAAAAACAAAGACUUUCACAAGGGUUCAAGAACAAACAUCAGAUUCAUGUUCUCUCCAAGAAUAUUCUCUCUUCAAAACAUCAGACUCAAAUCUAUUGGUAUAUCAUACUCAUAUCGGAAUGAUAGAAGACAGAUAAAGAAGAAUAUAUGGGGUCACAUGACUGAGCAGCUGACCAUAUAUGCAUAUAUGAAGCUGCUGCUGCUGCUGCUAAGUCGCUUCAGUCGUGUCUGACUCUGUGCGACCCCCAUAGAUGGCAGCCUACUAGGCUCCUCUGUCCCUGGGAUUCUUCAGGCAAGAACACUGGAGUGGGUUGCCAUUUCCUUCUCCAAUGCAUGAAAGUGAAAAGUGAAAGUGCAGUUGCUCAGUCCUGCCCGACUCUUAGCAACCUCAUGGACUGCAGCCUACCAGGUUCCUCCGUCCGUGGGAUUUGCCAGGCAAGAGUACUGGAGCGGGUGCCAUUGCCUUCUCCUAUAUGGAGCUAUUGAUAGCUAAAAAAGCAACAACAAAUAACAGCCCGAUCACACUUGAAUCUCUCUAAAUAGAAUCUCCAUAGUAGCUAUGGUGCUAAGCUUAGCCUCAACCUGACUCUGCCUCUCCAUCCUGCAAAGGGAAGAAUCUGUUGGUUUCAGAGUUAAAGAAGGAAUCAAGCAAUAUACUCCAGGGGUCCUUUUGUUAGGGAAGUGAAGUUGCUCAGUAGUGUCCGACUCUUUGUGACCCCAUGGACUGUAGCCCACUGGGCUCCUCCAUCCAUGGAAUUUUCCAGGCAAGAGUACUGGAGUGGGUUGCCAUUUCCUUCUCCAGGGGAUCUUUCUGACCCAGGGAUCAAAUCUGGGUCUCCCUCACUGCAGGCAGAUGCUUUACCAUCUGAGCCACCAGAGAAUCCAUUGGCCAAAAAUCUCCAUAAGACUACCUUCUAAGUGUUAUUUAAUAGUUUAAGUAUUUCUUCUUCAAAAACAUAUCCCUCCCUCCCUCUCUCUCUCACUCUCAUAUGAGGUUUUGUUUCACCAUAAGUGUAUUUCCCAGAGAGUUAUGAAUUACUUAUAUUUUUAAAAACUUAACUGCAUACUUUUGUGAAAAGGACUCUGACUGCCUUUGCAUGACAUUAACAAAACCCCCCAAAGUUAUGACCACCUUUCAUAAAAAUGAAAAUGCAGGACCUUUUGCUCCGAAAUUAUUAAGAAUUCGAAGAUGGUGACAGUGGAACAUUAAACCAAGCCCUGGGCCCCUCCAC